CAGCCGCCGCGGGAAUACGUAGGGUGCGAGCGUUAAUCGGAAUUACUGGGCGUAAAGCGUGCGCAGGCGGUUCGUUAAGACAGAUGUGAAAUCCCCGGGCUUAACCUGGGAACUGCAUUUGUGACUGGCGAGCUAGAGUAUGGCAGAGGGGGGUAGAAUUCCACGUGUAGCAGUGAAAUGCGUAGAGAUGUGGAGGAAUACCGAUGGCGAAGGCAGCCCCCUGGGCCAAUACUGACGCUCAUGCACGAAAGCGUGGGGAGCAAACAGGAUUAGAUACCCCGGUAGUCCCUGUCUCUUAUAC
rnacentral:rRNA from 1 species